UUUUUGGUUUCGUUAUGGUUUUCACCGGCUCCAGCGACUCACCGGUGGUGUGUUCGGACUGCGACAGUGGCUUCAUCGUGGAGAUCGGCAACCCGUCCUGCUCCGUCCAUGUGGAUUCGUGCCGCAAGGGGAGUUCCGCUGCUGCGAUGUACAUGAUCGGAGCCAACAACCGCUCCGGUUUCAAUCAUGAUCUCUGAUGAGAGCUUGGAACUGAUUGCCAAGUAUUUCAAGAAUUUCAAUCUCCUUGUGCUUUCGUCCUGUGAGGGAUUCGGUACCGAUGGCCUUGCCUUCAUUGCGGCUAAUUGCAGCUUCCGAGUGUUGAGAUUAAUCCGCAAUUCAUAACAUUUACGCAUGUUACUAUGGAGUCCAAUAAGUACACAUGUGUUCGAGAAA